AUGGAGGAUUCCAAGGGGAGCGACGGCGGCGGCGAGAGGCCCGGCGCCGACCACAACCCUAUCCCGGAUCAGCCGCCGCCGCUCGCUGCUCCCGGAGGAGGGCGCGAUGCCGCCGCGGCUGCUGCUGCUGCUGCGGCGGCGGCGGCGGCCUUGGCCGAGGACGAGGCGCGGCGCCCGUUCACGGCCCUCAGCCAGGUCGACGCCGACCUAGCCCUGGCGCGCGUCCUCCAGGAGCAGGAACGGGCGUAUAUGAUGCUCCGGAUGAACGGAGUCGGCGGCGGCGGCGGCGAGGGCAGCGACUACGGGAGCUCGGAGGCCGGGAGCUACGAGUACGACGAGGAUGCCGAGGAGGACUACGAGGAGGAGCUCGAGAACCACCUCCGCGUCCACCACCACGAGCACCCAGGCGGUGGCGAGGGCGAUGGGGACGAUGAUCUCGAGGCUGAUGGCGAGGGCAAGGGUGAGGGCGAGGGUGACGGUUCUGAAGAGAGCGAGUACGAGGAGGAGGGGUUCGAUGAGGACGAGGAGGUGGAGGAUGUGGAUCUAGACCCGGCAGAGUACGAGGACGACGAGGCUUAUGCGCGGGCGCUUCAGGACGCUGAGGAGCGUGAGGUUGCCGCGCGGCUUAUGGCUCUCGCUGGGAUCAGCGAUUGGCGGGCGGUGGAGCAUGUCGAGGAUCAGAUAAACGACGCGCAGGAUUCAUGGCAAGAGGUUGAUCCAGAUGAGUACUCUUAUGAGGAGUUAGUUGCAUUGGGUGAAGUAGUUGGCACAGAAAGUAGAGGUCUCUCUGCUGAUACACUUGCUUCCUUACCUUCAGUAACUUACAAGACAAAAGAUAUGCAAGAUGGCAACACAGAACAAUGUGUAAUUUGUCGUGUGGAAUUUGAGGAAGGUGAAUCUUUGGUUGCACUUCCCUGCAAUCAUUCAUACCAUCCUGACUGCAUUAAUCAGUGGCUUCAAAUAAAUAAGGUAUGCCCUAUGUGUAGCGCAGAAGUUUCUACCUCAGCAAGCAAGCAGGCAUGA
rnacentral:rRNA from 1 species